rnacentral:rRNA from 1 species
AAACUUUACAAUGUGCGAAAGCACGAUAAGGGAACUCUGAGUGCCUCCUAAGGAGGCUGUUCAGAUGUCUAAAAAAGCAUCUGGAGGAAGGGCUGGGCAAGACCGGUGCCAGCCGCCGCGGUAACACCGGCAGCCCAAGUGGUAGUCAUGCUUACUGGGUCUAAAGCGUCCGUAGCCGGCCGGGUAAGUUCCUUGGGAAAUUUGAUCGCUUAACGAUCAAGCUACCUGGGAAUACUACUUGGCUUGGGACCGGGAGAGGUCAGAGGUACUUCAAGGGUAGGGUG